UAAAAGUGAGGUCCGAUCCAUUAGUUGAGAUCUCGAGUCUUCCAGUCUUCACCUAGCUAUCUGAUCAGAUUAUCGAAUUUCCUUCUCCUUAGAUAUAUUGAUCGUAGAUAUAUUCUCACUAGAAACCAAUUCAUCCGAUCACGAUGGAAUUCCGGAGACAUCCACCGCCUCCACCACCGCCGGACCCCUUUGCACCACCACCCCCUCCUCCUCCACAUCAUCAUCAUCAUCAUGGGCCGCCACCUCCUCCACGUCCUGAGUUUUAUCACCCACCACCACCACCACCGCCCCAUCACCAUCACCAUCCCCCUGGUCCUCCUUCUCCUCCUCCUCCACGACCUUUCGCUCCAGGGCCUCCACCGCCGGGUCCUCCAGGACCUCCACCGCCAUAUUUCGACCCCUACAGACCACCUCACCCUCACCAUCCUCCUCCACCUUACUAGUUCAUAAUUUUAGCUCUAUAUAUCUAUGAGGUUAAUAUAUGUAUCCUCGAAGCAAGCAACGUAGCCAGCGGCUACUAGUGGUGUAGUGCUGCAUUUCUAAUAAUAAAGAUGAACACAGACACACGUUCAUAUGUGGCCGUGUCAUCUCAUUUGUGUAACUUUGUAAGUUUGUAUGAGUUAUUAUUUUCUUUUGUUGUACCGUGUAUAUAGUAUGAUUGUAGUAAUUAAAUAAACAUAUAUAAUUUCACUAGCAAAUGGUUUUCCUAAUCUUAGUUCCUAUUUUCUCAACACAUAUAUGGAGUAAGAUUUUUACAUCAUCAAAGAAAAAUUGGCGUCUCCUACUUAAUUAGUAUGGUUACUUAGGAGACAAUUGUAUAUGUCUCACAUUUCACAAUAUAAACAGCUCACUUCUCAAUAUGAGAAAUGAAUGUAACGAAAAGCUAAAAAAUAAAAAAAUAAAUAGGAAUUUUCUCAUUCAUUUUGCUUCCAUGUCUGUUGAUGAUGAAUCUGCAAAUAUCCUCUCUCUUGCCAACUUUGCCUGCAGAAUAUAAGAAAAGAUAUCAAUAUACAUGUAAGUUAUCAAUAUGUUCUCUACUAAAGAUAUCUAUACAAUUAUAUAUAUUUCGUUCAACCUUAGUUUGCAUCUGGUAAUUUUCACAACUAGUUAGUAAACUACAGAAUAAUUCUCAUUUGCAAGAUUCAAUUAUAUUUUAUUUCUCUAUGGGGCUAGGACUUGGAUAUUUUACUAGGAACAAAUUUGGGUUUCGAUGUAGGAACUUGUUGAAAUCUCAUGUGAGGAAACCCAAGUCUAUCGUACUAAUUCUACAACUAGGGUAAUAAAUUCAUUUGGAGUAAUGUUAAGAUGUAGGGCUAGUUUGGUAUUGUUGUGACUUUAAAAAAAAAAAACUGUUGUUGAUGUACUGUGAAAAUAAUCAGCUGUGAAUUAAAACAGUUUUAUGUUUGGUAAAUAUUAGUUUUAAAAGUGCUGUCAAGAUAAAAUUUAUUAAUUUAUAGUGUUUUUAGUGACAGCUGUUUUUAAAAGUAACAUUCAGAUUGUUUUUAAAAGCUGUUGUUAGUGACCUGUAACUACUUUUAAUUAGGCCUUACAUUCAUUGUUAGUUUUUGUGAAAUUUUUUUGUAUGUAAUAUGUGAGUUUAAUUAUGGAAAAUGCAUUGGUUGAUAAGUUCAAAAUUAAUUAAAAUAAAAUUAUAUAUGAACCUGUUUAG
rnacentral:lncRNA from 1 species